rnacentral:rRNA from 1 species
GACAGAGGGUGCUAGCGUUGUUCGGAAUUACUGGGCGUAAAGGGCUCGUAGGCGGCCAACUAAGUCAGACGUGAAAUCCCUCGGCUUAACCGGGGAACUGCGUCUGAUACUGGAUGGCUUGAGAUUGGGAGAGGGAUGCGGAAUUCCAGGUGUAGCGGUGAAAUGCGUAGAUAUCUGGAGGAACACCGGUGGCGAAGGCGGCAUCCUGGACCAACACUGACGCUGAGGAGCGAAAGCCAGGGGAGCAAACGGG